UGAGUACGAGCUGCUACGGCAGCGAAGUGGGUGAUGUCAAGCUUCCAAGAAAAGCCCUAUACCCGUUAAGGCAUGACGGCCUGUACCCGAAACCGACACAGGUGGGGUGGUAGAGAAUACCGAGGGGCGCGAGAUAACUCUCUCUAAGGAACUCGGCAAAAUGGCCCCGUAACUUCGGGAGAAGGGGUGCCACCGCAAGGUGGUCGCAGUGAAGAGGCCCAGGCGACUGUUUGCCAAAAACACAGGUCUCCGCUAAGUCGCAAGACGAUGUAUGGGGGCUGACGCCUGCCCAGUGCCGGAAGGUUAAGGAAGCUGGUCAGCGCAAGCGAAGCUAGCGACUGAAGCCCCGGUGAACGGCGGCCGUAACUAUAACGGUCCUAAGGUAGCGAAAUUCCUUGUCGGGUAAGUUCCGACCCGCACGAAAGGCGUAACGAUCUGGGCGCUGUCUCGGAGAGAGGCUCGGCGAAAUAGAAUCGUCUGUGAAGAUGCGGACUACGUGCACCCGGACAGAAAGACCCUAUGAAGCUUUACUGUAGCUUGGUAUUGUGCCCGGGCUCUGAAUGCGCAGGAUAGGUGGGAGGCUUUGAUCCAUGGCUUGCGGGUCAAGGUGAGCCAACGGUGAGAUACCACUCUUUCAGAGCUAGGGUUCUAACAGCCACCCGUUAUCCGGGGGCUGGACAGUAUCAGGUGGGCAGUUUGACUGGGGCGGUCGCCUCCUAAAAGGUAACGGAGGCGCGCAAAGGUUUGCUCAGGCUGGUUGGAAAUCAGCCGACGAGUGCAAAAGCAGAAGCAAGCUUGACUGUGAGACCAACAAGUCGAACAGGGACGAAAGUCGGCUUUAGUGAUCCGACGGUUCUGAGUGGAAGGGCCGUCGCUCAACGGAUAAAAGUUACUCUAGGAUAACAGGCUGAUCUCCCCCAAGAGUUCACAUCGACGGGGAGGUUUGGCACCUCGAUGUCGGCUCAUCGCAACCUGGGGCUGAAGUCGGUCCCAAGGGUUGGGCUGUUCGCCCAUUAAAGCGGUACGCGAGCUGGGUUCAGAACGUCGUGAGACAGUUCGGUCCAUAUCCGGUGCAUGCGUAAGAACAUUGAGAGGAGUUCUCCCUAGUACGAGAGGACCGGGAGGAACGCACCUCUGGUGUACCAGUUAUCGUGCCAACGGUAAACGCUGGGUAGCCAUGUGCGGAGAGGAUAACCGCUGAAAGCAUCUAAGUGGGAAGCCCACCUCAAGAUGAGUGUUCUCAUGGCUUAAGCCAGUAAGGUCACGGGAAGAACACCCGUUGAUAGGCUCUACGUGGAAGCGCAGCAAUGUGUGAAGCGGAGGAGUACUAAUAGACCGAGGGCUUGACC
rnacentral:rRNA from 1 species